rnacentral:rRNA from 1 species
GAUCCUGGCUCAGGAUGAACGCUAGCUACAGGCUUAACACAUGCAAGUCGAGGGGCAGCAUUUCAGUUUGCUUGCAAACUGGAGAUGGCGACCGGCGCACGGGUGAGUAACACGUAUCCGAACCUGCCGAUAACUCGGGAUAGCCUUUCGAAAGAAAGAGUUAAUACCCGAUGGUAUAAUCAGACCGCAUGGUCUUGUUAUUAAAGAAUUUCGGUUAUCGAUGGGGAUGCGUUCCAUUAGG